CUUAAGCAGGGAAGAGGACAGGGGUAUAAUCUUAUAAGGGGGAUGAUGAAACUUAGGCAAUGUCUGGGAAGAUUGUAACCCCACAGUACUCAACCAGUGAGGAACUGGGGGAGGGACUUGUGUGCUAGGAGAUAAAUUACCUGUUGUGACCGCCCCGGUUGUGCCUGCCUACCAGACACCUGAUCUUGCAAGACCAUUAUUAAAAGUCUCCCUUUGGCUGUUCUUCAGGCCUCUAAGUCCAUUCUUUGGAUUUGGACAGGAGGCAGCAGAAGCAACACAGGGAGAAAAGCAGGCACUGCGGGAACCAGGCAAACUCAUGCACCAGCCAAGGAAGGAAAAUUGGACUCCUGCCGAGUGCCUGCGAUUGCAGGGGCGCGCCGCCACGCC
rnacentral:lncRNA from 10 species